rnacentral:lncRNA from 1 species
UUUUCUGAUCUUUGGACAGAUUCAAUAAAUGUUAUGAUUUCUAGUGAUUAUCUACAACUUCCAAAAUCAUACCAACCAUAAUAACACUGUAAGUAUUUAAUGCAGCAAAAAUUCAAGUUUUUUUUUUCCAAUUUUGACUUUUCAAAUUUAAAUGCUAUAUAUAGAUAUUUGGUUCCUUACACCAAUGCCCAUUAGGCUGGUGAUAUAAGGCUCACACACAUUUUCUGGAAAUAUAAAAAAUCUAAAUGAGUUGUCUUGUAUUUUUGGAAAAUAAACUCAAGUGAUUGGGUAACAGGGUCACAAUUGUACUGGAAAAAUGCUUUCUGACAAAAUGAUACUUUUCCCCCCCGAGUCAAUCUAGAUAAUCAAGAUUGGCUACAGCCAAAUUAUGGUGGAGCUGGCCCAAAUUUUCAUAACUCUGUGUUCAGUGAUGUCAUAUUAGUAGUUUGAAAUUGGUCAAAGGUAGGAGUAUUUAUACCACAGAAAUCAGCAAAAGCUACCAAUCAGA